GUGAAAGGCAAAUGCUUAGAAAUGAGCAGACGCAAAACUAUAGGGACUAAGGCAGAAUGCUAUGUCAGCCAGCUACC
rnacentral:ncRNA from 1 species